rnacentral:rRNA from 1 species
CUAGCGACUUCAGAGUUUGAUCCUGGCUCAGGAUGAACGCUGGCGGCGUGCAUAGCACAUUCAAGUCGAACGGAGUUAUUGUUUUAGAUCCCUUCGGGGUGACGAAGCUUUAACUUAGUGGCGGACGGGUGAGUAACGCGUGAGCAACCUGCCCUUGUGUGGGGGAUAACGUUUGGAAACGAACGCUAAUACCGCAUAACGUGUCGAGAUCGCAUGGUCAUGACACCAAAGAUUUAUUGCGCAAGGAUGGGCUCGCGUCUGAUUAGGUAGUUGGUGAGGUAACGGCCCACCAAGCCUACGAUCAGUAGCCGGACUGAGAGGUUGAACGGCCACAUUGGAACUGAGAUACGGUCCAG